UACGAACCGUGCGAACGUUGUUCGGAAUAACUGGGCUUAAAGGGUGCGUAGGCGGGUCCGCCAGUCUGUGGUGAAAUCCUCCCGAUUAACGGGAGAACUGCCGUGGAUACUGCGGACCUCGAGGAAGAUAGGGGCGUGCGGAACAGUUGGUGGAGCGGUGAAAUGCGUUGAUAUCAACUGGAACUCCUGUGGCGAAGGCGGCACGCUGGGUCUUUUCUGACGCUGAGGCACGAAAGCUAGGGGAGCAAUCGGG
rnacentral:rRNA from 1 species